AGUGGCGAACGGCUGAGUAACACGUGGAGAACCCGCCCCCUCCUCCGGGAUAGCCUCGGGAAACCGUGGGUAAUACCGGAUGACCCCCGGCAGGCCGCAUGGCCGGCCGGGCAAAGCCCCAGACGGGAGGGGAUGGCUCCGCGGCCCAUCAGGUAGACGGCGGGGUGACGGCCCACCGUGCCGACGACGGGUAGCCGGGUUGAGAGACCGACCGGCCAGAUUGGGACUGAGACACGGCCCAG
rnacentral:rRNA from 1 species